UGAGGAAUAUUGGACAAUGGGGGCAACCCUGAUCCAGCCAUGCCGCGUGAGUGAAGAAGGCCUUAGGGUUGUAAAGCUCUUUCAAUCGUGAAGAUAAUGACGGUAGCGAUAGAAGAAGCCCCGGCUAAAUUCGUGCCAGCAGCCGCGGUAAUACGAAUGGGGCAAGCGUUGUUCGGAAUCACUGGGCUUAAAGCGUGCGUAGGCGGAAACGCAAGUCAGGCGUGAAAUCCCGAGGCUCAACCUCGGAACUGCGCUUGAAACUGCGUUUCUAGAAUCCGAUAGAGGUCAGGAGAAUUCCUAGUGUAGAGGUGAAAUUCGCAGAUAUUAGGAGGAAUACCAGUGGCGUAGGCGCCUGACUGGGUCGGUAUUGACGCUGAGGUACGAAAGCGUGGGGAGCAAACAGGAUUAGAUACCCCCGUAGUCC
rnacentral:rRNA from 1 species